UAACCACAAGGUCUAGCCACCAUCUUGGCUGAGGUCAAAACAGGCAGGUCAUAUGACCUCAAUGCCAUCUUUACAAAAGGCAGCUUGGGCAGGGCACCCAGUGCUCAGGCCAUUGGUAUGGAAGGAGGUUAGGGAAUUGCCUCCCAUCACUCAUUGUUUCACCAUUGUUUUAUGGGCUGAGGAAAAGUCCUCCGGCCCUGGCCUGGUGCUCCCCAGUUGCCUCUCUCAGGCUCUAGAUGUCUGGGCAGAGGAAAUUUCAGUUGCAGCCUGGGCAGCCAUUCAUUCGGCAACCUCAAGGAACAGAUGCCUGAGAUCUCCACGCCAGAGAUUUCCAUGAUGACAGCUAACAAUGCUUCUUCACUCCUGCCUCCAGCCAUGUGUGACUCCCAGCAUACCCCCUCCCCACUUCACCCCUUGUCAGCUUGAAGUAGCCUCGAGAAUUCAACGCCCUUGUUCCCCCACUUGCUCCCAUAACUCACCCCUCUUUAUGAUAAUUCAAAACAGAGAAAUGUUAAUAUUUUGACCUGCCCCUUGGUGUCGCCCUGUGUCCUGACAUAAAGGUCUCUCUUUAAGGAAAAAUUCCACCCCUUCCUUGCGCUUUCCUUCCUCUUCCUCCCACGAGGUGUGCACCCCUCUUUCUUUCUCUCCCUUCCUCUCUCUCUCUCUCUCUCCCCCACCCUCUGUUUCUCUGCCUCUUUAUCUCUCUAUUGUAAUAAACGCUCCACAUGGAUGCAGCAUCUGGGUUGUGUGUUAUCGGCUGCCACCACCACCACCACCAUCACUGCAUCUGUCCAGCAUGUUUCCCUGCACUCUCAGAUACCCUAGCCCCCACCCCCAGCCCAUGUAAUAAAUCAUAACAGCUGGUAAUUGUGAAAA